rnacentral:rRNA from 1 species
AGAGUUUGAUCCUGGCUCAGGACGAACGCUGGCGGCGUGCUUAACACAUGCAAGUCGAACGGAAAGGCCCUUCGGGGUACUCGAGUGGCGAACGGGUGAGUAACACGUGGGUGAUCUGCCCUGCACUUUGGGAUAAGCCUGGGAAACUGGGUCUAAUACCGAAUAUGACCAUGCACUUCCUGGUGUGUGGUGGAAAGCUUUUGCGGUGUGGGAUGGGCCCGCGGCCUAUCAGCUUGUUGGUGGGGUAAUGGCCUACCAAGGCGACGACGGGUAGCCGACCUGAGAGGGUGACCGGCCACACUGGGACUGAGAUACGGCCCAGACUCCUACGGGAGGCAGCAGUGGGGAAUAUUGCACAAUGGGCGCAAGCCUGAUGCAGCGACGCCGCGUGAGGGAUGACGGCCUUCGGGUUGUAAACCUCUUUCAGCACAGACGAAGCGCAAGUGACGGUAUGUGCAGAAGAAGGACCGGCCAACUACGUGCCAGCAGCCGCGGUAAUACGUAGGGUCCGAGCGUUGUCCGGAAUUACUGGGCGUAAAGAGCUCGUAGGUGGUUUGUCGCGUUGUUCGUGAAAACUCACAGCUUAACUGUGGGCGUGCGGGCGAUACGGGCAGACUAGAGUACUGCAGGGGAGACUGGAAUUCCUGGUGUAGCGGUGGAAUGCGCUGAUAUCAGGAGGAACACCGGUGGCGAAGGCGGGUCUCUGGGCAGUAACUGACGCUGAGGAGCGAAAGCGUGGGGAGCGAACAGGAUUAGAUACCCUGGUAGUCC